rnacentral:tRNA from 1 species
GUUGUGGCUCAGCGGUAGAGCGCUCCUUUAGCACGUGGGAGGCCCUGGGUUCAAUCUUCAUCACAACA